rnacentral:lncRNA from 1 species
UCUCUACUCUUUCGCCAUCUAGCGGUCGAUCUUGAACUCGGUUUCCCAAGUGAUUUAUUCCCUUUAUUAUUUCCCAAGUGAUUUAUUCCCUUUAUUAUGUGCAGUCGAAGUGCUCGCGUUGCUUAGUGAUUUAUUCCCUUUAUUAUUUCCCAAGUGAUUUAUUCCCUUUAUUAUGUGCAGUCGAAGUGCUCGCGUUGCUGAAUCCCUAAAACCGUGCUCCUGCAGUCCGGCUGAUGUCGGUCAAAUUGAAUUCAACAUGGGGAAACCUAAUGAAAAGGGGAAGAACGGUUUGCGUUUACGAGAGAUAACAAUAGUUGUUACGAAGAUCGGGAUGUUGGAAGGAACGAGAAGUAAUUCUAUUCUUUCCAAUCUGUUCCAGAUGUUUUGUCUUUGAAACCGUCAUCCCUAACUGAACGUGAAGAAGAACUUUCGAGGGGUUUUCAUCAGUAUAAAAAGGGAGACUAUUAAUUGAUGGUGAAAAGUGAGAAUGUUUUCUCCUUUCGUCAGCCAGAAGACCCUAAUAAUCUGGACAAUUGUUCCAUUGAAAAUACACCACCAAUUCAAACUGCUUUUCCUGUAGCAAAACAAAAUCUAGUUCUGAUGGUUGUGCACCCAUAAAACCUAAAGCUGUGGAACACGAGCCAUCAGUCUGUGACUUCCUCCACUUCAACGAACUGAAAUUUUGGCAUCCAACGCCAACAAUCCACUAUGUAUUCCUCUAUUGCUAUUUUAUUGCUGACAUAGUACGUCACGUUAGGGACGCCAGCAAGACCAAUUGAUUACAUCGGUGAUGUACCCACUGCUCCAUGCGCCUCUCCUUACGGCAAAGAUUGUUUCAGCAUCAUGUCCUACGGUCCCUCGUCACUACAAUGUCACUCAAGUUUUCGGCUGUUUUAGGAUGAAUGGGACUUGCCAGUCACUACUUUGUUGUGUAAAAUGGUUGAAUUGGACCCUGGAAU